rnacentral:rRNA from 1 species
ACAACGAAGAGUUUGAUCCUGGCUCAGGAUGAACGCUAGCGACAGGCUUAACACAUGCAAGUCGAGGGGCAGCACAGGUAGCAAUACCGGGUGGCGACCGGCGCACGGGUGAGUAACGCGUAUGCAACUUACCUAUCAGAGGGGGAUAACCCGGCGAAAGUCGGACUAAUACCGCAUGAAGCAGGGGCCCCGCAUGGGGAUAUUUGCUAAAGAUUCAUCGCUGAUAGAUAGGCAUGCGUUCCAUUAGGCAGUUGGCGGGGUAACGGCCCACCAAACCGACGAUGGAUAGGGGUUCUGAGAGGAAGGUCCCCCACAUUGGUACUGAGACACGGACCAAACUCCUACGGGAGGCAGCAGUGAGGAAUAUUGGUCAAUGGCCGAGAGGCUGAACCAGCCAAGUCGCGUGAGGGAUGAAGGUUCUAUGGAUCGUAAACCUCUUUUAUAAGGGAAUAAAGUGCGGGACGUGUCCCGUUUUGUAUGUACCUUAUGAAUAAGGAUCGGCUAACUCCGUGCCAGCAGCCGCGGUAAUACGGAGGAUCCGAGCGUUAUCCGGAUUUAUUGGGUUUAAAGGGUGCGUAGGCGGCCUUUUAAGUCAGCGGUGAAAGUCUGUGGCUCAACCAUAGAAUUGCCGUUGAAACUGGGGGGCUUGAGUAUGUUUGAGGCAGGCGGAAUGCGUGGUGUAGCGGUGAAAUGCAUAGAUAUCACGCAGAACCCCGAUUGCGAAGGCAGCCUGCCAAGCCAUGACUGACGCUGAUGCACGAAAGCGUGGGGAUCAAACAGGAUUAGAUACCCUGGUAGUCCACGCAGUAAACGAUGAUCACUAGCUGUUUGCGAUACACUGUAAGCGGCACAGCGAAAGCGUUAAGUGAUCCACCUGGGGAGUACGCCGGCAACGGUGAAACUCAAAGGAAUUGACGGGGGCCCGCACAAGCGGAGGAACAUGUGGUUUAAUUCGAUGAUACGCGAGGAACCUUACCCGGGUUUGAACGCAUUCGGACCGAGGUGGAAACACCUUUUCUAGCAAUAGCCGUUUGCGAGGUGCUGCAUGGUUGUCGUCAGCUCGUGCCGUGAGGUGUCGGCUUAAGUGCCAUAACGAGCGCAACCCUUGCCACUAGUUACUAACAGGUAAAGCUGAGGACUCUGGUGGGACUGCCAGCGUAAGCUGCGAGGAAGGCGGGGAUGACGUCAAAUCAGCACGGCCCUUACAUCCGGGGCGACACACGUGUUACAAUGGCGUGGACAAAGGGAGGCCACCUGGCGACAGGGAGCGAAUCCCCAAACCACGUCUCAGUUCGGAUCGGAGUCUGCAACCCGACUCCGUGAAGCUGGAUUCGCUAGUAAUCGCGCAUCAGCCAUGGCGCGGUGAAUACGUUCCCGGGCCUUGUACACACCGCCCGUCAAGCCAUGGGAGCCGGGGGUACCUGAAGUCCGUAACCGCGAGGAUCGGCCUAGGGUAAAACUGGUGACUGGGGCUAAGUCGUAACAAGGUAGCCGUACCGGAAGGUGCGGCUGGAACACCUCCUUU